CUUAGCAGUCAGAGUGGCAGGAAUGUUGUGUUGUGCUGCUGUCUGCCUCAAAGUCGGAGUAUGUCAAUUUGUAAAUAGUUACAGGUAGGUAGCCGUGUUGGUCUGCCGUAGUCGAAAUAAAAGAAAAAAAUUCCUUCCAGUAGCACCUUAGAGACCAACUAAGUUAGUUAUUGGUAUGAGCUUUCAUGUGCAUGCACACUUCUUCAGAUACACUGAAACAAAAGUCACCUAGACCCUUAUAUAUAGUGAGAGGGUGGGGAGGGAUAUUACUCAGAAGGGAGGUGGGAAUGGGUGAUUGGCUCAUAGGGGUGGUAAACCUGUUGAGGACUGUUAACGACUGCAAUUGGUCUUAAAGGAAAAAGCAAGGGGUGAGAUGGCUAAAAAUAGCUUUAUCAUGUAUAAUGAGAUAAGAAUCCAAUGUCUCUAGUCAGACCAGGUUUCUCCAUGGUUUUAAGUUUGGUAAUAAGUUGCAAUUCAGCAACUUCUCUUUCCAGUCUAUUUCUGAAAUUCUUUUGUAAUAAGACAGAAUGUGCAGAAUGUCCUGGGAGAUUGAAGUUUUCUCCUACUGGUUCCUCUGUCUUGUGAUUCCUGAUUUAUGUCCAUUUAUCCUUUGGCGUAGGGUUUGGCCUGUUUGUUCAAUAUAGAGAGCUGAAGGGCACUCUUUCAAUUUGUAAAUGUUAGUUGGUCUGUAACAGUUUAAUCUAUGUAAAAUACUUUAGCAACUAAAAGAAACAUCCACCUGCAUUGUAUAUGUAUUUAAUCUGAAAGUGCAAGUAUAUUAAGUAAAAGUUAUAUGCUCUUUAAACUUUACAUGAGAGUGUCUUGUGUAGUUUAUAUAGGAGGGAAAAGAGAACUAAAGGGUCAAACAACCCAGGGCUGCCUUCUGCAUACUCUGCAGAUGGGAGCUACAGUCUAAUUUCCACACACUAUCCAUUAUGCAUUGUCACAUUUCUCCAAAAUAAAGGAAUUUGGGUAGUUUAGUCUGGAAAGGACUAUAAGAGGUUCUUUGAUAGCCCUUUGCAAAUGGCUAUCACAUAAGUGAGAGAGAAAAUUUGUUUUCGCUUACUCUGUAGGGAAGGUCCCAAACAAAAAAGCUCAAAUUACAAGAAAAGGAUGUUCAUCAAAACAGUAGGAUGAUCUUUCUGAUAGUACAAGCUGUUUAGACAGAGGAGCAAUCUUUCUGUUCUGCUGAUAGGAGUGUCAGCAGCUGGUGAUUAGUCUGCCAUUUCCCUCCCAGGAACCCCCUCUAGAUGUUUUGGAUGAUGACUUCUACCAGCCCCAGCUAGAUUUUACUUGCUCAUCUUACUUACAUUUGGGAUUUGUAAUUGAGCAGUAUAUUCAAAUGGGGUUUAGGAGUCCACCACCUCCAUCAUUUUUGUGCUGUGUUGAAUGUGGAAAACAAAACUGUAUGUUAUUGGUGUUGGAAUGGAAUGCUGAUUUAAAGAAACAGGUACAUUUUUCUGGAAGCAGAGGCUGUCAAGAGGGAGAAUAAUAAAACCCAAGAUGGCAGAAACACCGCUGAAUGUCUCUUUGAUUGUCGGUAUUAUGUAAAAAUUACUAGACAAGCAGCUGAUAGAAUUAAGAGCUGGGAUGUGUGGCAUGUUAAAGGAGAUUGGAUCAGAGAAAUGCCAGACUGAAGAAUCUACAGGACCUGUGGAAAAGGAUGGUGAUCCAGGACUGCUUGAACCUGAAAAAGUAAAGUCAAAAUGCACAGCAGCAGAUGUUGGAAUGGAGUGGACAUCAACAUAGCUGUCUGGAGAAUUUGAUCAGACAAAGGAUGCCAUUGUGCUGGAAGAGAAACAACCAGAGAUGGCAGAACACAUAAAUGAUGCUGUUGUGCCUCUGGAAGAAAUGAAUGGAAUUAUAACCAGAAACAUUAAUAAACAACUGUAGAUGGCAAAGCUGAGAGAGAAAUGCCCUUGUGUACAAGCUAAAGUAAACACAGAAGAAGCUCCCAAAAUUUUGGUGAUCGACUUGGGAAAAUAAUUGAAAAAAUGGGAGGAAAGUGACUUUUUCAUUUCUCUUUAAACCAGAAUACAGAAUCAUGGCCAACAGCAAAUCAGACUGGAAUAUAUGGAAUUGGGUAUGAAUCAAUGAAGAGAUAACAAAUAAUUAUGGACUAUCAUACUGUUGGGAUUUGUUUGAACCCUUGGAGAGAAACUCAUCAUACUGGAUUUGAAAAUGACUAUGCUUUAACGAUAAUAAAAAUUGAAGAGCUUUGAUUGGACUUUUUUUGGGGGGGAAGGGUGAAUGCGAGAGGACUGGUAAUGAAGACUGAAAAAAUAUCAUCUAGCAGAUGGAGAAAUAGCUGGACAGUAGUACAGCCAGAUGUUAUCCUGGAGUGCAUAGUCUGAAUAUUUUGAAUAACUGUUACAUACGUAAUUGGCAGACAGAGAACUGGAAGCCCUUCUUAUUUCUUUUUCUUUAGUUCUUUUAUAUCUUGCUUUUCUAUGACUUUCCUUUUUCAUUAUUUAUAUUUACAUUUUGUUUUGUAAUUUGAAGUUCUCUAUCUUGGAUUAAGGAAGAUACACAUAGGAAAGUGCUAGAUCACGGGUAGGUAAACUAAGGCCUGGAGCCUGGAUCCGGCCCAAUCACCUUCAAAUUCCGGCUUGCGGGAGGUCUGGGAAUCAGUGUGUUUUACAUGAGUAGAAUGUGCCCUUUUAUUUAAAAUGCAUCUCUGGGUUAUUUGUGGGGCAUAGGAAUUCGUUCAUUCCCCCCCCCCCAAAUAUAGUCCGGCCCCCCACAAGGUGUGAGGGACAUUGGACCGGCCCCCUGCUGAAAAAGUUUGCUGACCCCUGUGCUAGAUUGAAGAUGAAAGCCCCUGUGUGAAGGGCAGGGCGGAGAGGAUCUCCUAGAGUGGGAGGCUAGGGGGAAGAGGGGGAAGCUCCCAAGUGGGAGCUGGGAAGGUUCACUCUUCUGUGUGUGGAAUAAGGGUUAAGAUUUCGUUUUAAUAAAUCUGAUAGAGAGCUUUAUAAUUUCCUUUUAUUCUUCUCUUAUUUUCUUCUUCAUUUCAUUUCAUUUCAUUUCAUUUCCCUAUUCCUUCUUUUUAUCUUUAUUUUCUAGAUUAGUGUGACUUGACUAUUGUAUUUUAUGUUGAAAACUGUUAGUAAAAAAGUAUUGAAAAAAGCAAAAUGAAACAUCUGAAGGGCACCAGGCUAUCAAAGGCUGGACAAGAGAAAUAAAGAAUUGAUUGAAACAACUUUAUUUUCGAGGACCUCUCAGGAAAAGUUGUGAAACAACUUCUAGGUUUAGGGAAUAACCUGGAUCGUGUGCCUUUAAGGCAAGUUGUAAAAAUUACCAACUUCGUAAUACUAAGGGAAUCUCCAAAUUAAAAUUUUAUAUCAUUACAUGGAUUAGAUGGUGCACUUCAAUUCAAUAUAAUCAGAUAGCAGUCCAAUAGUAGAAUUCUACACAAGCCAUUUAAAUAUUUUAAAAUUUUAUUUAUUUAAGGUGAGAGCUUUUUAUUUUUCUGUUAUUAGCAGCAUUGGCAGUGGAAUCACACCACCGAACUAGUUGUGCUGUUUUGCAAAUGAAUAAAAAUAAAAAUAAAACAAACUCUUGUUUCAUAAUUUUUUUGUAAAAUAUUCCAAAGUACUGUUUCUCGUUCUACGCCACCAUGAUAUGAGCAGGAAACAAUUUCAGAAACACAGAAUCAACAACAUCUAGGUGGAAUCUUCCAGUGGAAGAGGAUUCUCUUACUAAUUUUUUUCCUGUAAGUUGCCCCUAUGUCAGGAAUGGGCAGGAGCCUGAGGAGUGGGGAGAGGAGACAGGUUGUGGGCAGAGGAGACAGGUUGGGAGGAGGGUGUUUUGGGAAAGGGGUCAGUAGUUUGUGGAGUUCUGUGCCACCGUUGCAGCAGCUGCCAGUAGUGGAGAAAUGGGGUUAGGAGCAGGAGACCGGGUGGCCAGAGACAGGGGGAAGGAAACAAGAGAAGAACUGUAGGACGUUCCACGGCCACGAGAGCAUGCAGAACUCCAAGAUAGAGUCAUGUCUGUGGAAUCCCGCAGGUCACCCCCUCAAUUGUUGCCUGGUGUUUGAGCGUAACAUGUCAGCCAAGGGAGUCUGGAGUGGGUGGAGCUAGGCUGUUGCUCCAACCAUCCAAGAUAGGACACAGGUCAGGUGAGAGGUUGCCUAGAUAGCUAGUUAGUGGGGAGUGAUGUUGUAUAACACCUGCACAUUGGGAAGUGAUGUAACUGAGCACUUCACCAAUUGUUGCUGUUGUUUAGUCGUUUAGUCGUGUCCGACUCUUCGUGAGCCCAUGGACCAGAGCACGCCAGGCACUCCUGUCUUCCACUGCUUCCCGCAGUUUGGUCAGGCUCAUGUUUGUAGCUUCGAGAACACUGUCCAACCAUCUCAUCCUCUGUUGUCCCCUUCUCCUUGUGCCCUCCAUCUUUCCCAACAUCAGGGUCUUUUCCAGGGAGUCUUCUCUUCUCAUGAGGUGGCCAAAGUAUUGGAGCCUCAACUUCACCAUCUGUCCUUCCAGUGAGCACUCAGGGCUGAUUUCCUUAAGAAUGGAUACGUUUGAUCUUCUUGCAGUCCAUGGGACUCUCAAGAGUCUCCUCCAGCACCAUAAUUCAAAAGCAUUAAUUCUUCGGCGAUCAGCCUUCUUGAUGGUCCAGCUCUCACUUCCAUACAUCACUACUGGGAAAACCAUGGCUUUAACUAUACGGACCUUUGUUGGCAAGGUGAUGUCUCUGCUUUUUAAGAUGCUGUCUAGGUUUGCCAUCACCUUUCUCCCAAGGAGCAGGCGUCUUUUAAUUUCGUGACUGCUGUCACCAUUCCGUGACUGCUUCACCAAUAAAGAACUGGAAAUCCAGUCACUUGUCCUGGUUGGUCUGGGUAUGAAUCUGAACACCCAGACACACAACUAAAUGCAUUAAAAACCUAAUUUGCUGGAUUGGCAGAAGGGAUUGCCAAACUCUCUGUGAUAUGCAGAUAUUGAGCCCAGUUUUGCAGAAGUCCAGAACAGUUCCUAAAGAUGUAAAAUAGGGAUAGAAACAGAGUAUUCUGACUUAUACUAUAUAUUGUGGCCAAAAACAAAGACAAGCACCAUCUUAUGCUUUAAAUAUAUCCUAACUGUUGAAAUACAGUGGUACCUCGGGUUACAUAUGCUUCAGGUUACAUACACUUCAGGUUACAAACUCCACUAACCCAGAAAUAGUACCUUGGGUUAAGAACUUUGCCUCAGGAUGAGAACAGAAAUCGUGCUGCGGCGGCAUGGCAGCAAUGGGAGGCCCCAUUAGCUAAAGUGGUGCUUCAGGUUAAGAACAGUUUCAGGUUAAGAACGGACCUCCAGAACGAAUUAAGUACUUAACCCGAGGUACCACUGUAAUAGAAUCAUACAAUCAUAGAAUUGUAGAGUUGGAAGUCGAUCCCCUGCAAUGCAGGAAUCACACCUAAAGAAUCCCUGACAGGUGGUCACCCAACCUUUGUUUAAAAACCUCCAACGAAGGAGAGUCCACCAAUUUCCAAGGUAGUCAAACAGCUCUUACUGUCAGAAAGAUCUUCCUAACGUUUAGUCAGAAUCUCCUUUCUUGUCAUUUGAAUCCACUGGUUUGAGACCUAUUCUCAGGAACAGCAGAAUAGAGCACUGCUAUUCCUUCCCUCGAUCUGGACACUACUUCUGUUAAAGCAGUCUACAAUAGCAUUGGCCUCUUUUGUUGCUGCAUCACACUGCUGACUCAGAAUCACAUUUGCUACUAUGCUUGCUUUUAUAUCAGACCCUGGCCACCUCUAGAAUGCAGCCCCUGAAAAGUUGUCUGCAGGGAAUAGAGACAUUGGCCUGAAAAGGUUUCUACAGUCCUGCCUUGGGGUUUCAGCCAGGAGUCUUUCCAAGACCUACCUGCACAUUUUAUGGACUGAACUUCGAACCUUUUGCAUGCAAAUCAGCUGUACUGCCAUACUACCAAUGAGCUACAGCCCUGCAUUGGACAGAGCCCAAGGCCUUAGUAUCUUCUUCAAGUUGAAAAAGCUUCACAGGCUCGCCCUCACUCUCAGAUGCCUCCUCCCCUCCCUCCUCCUCCUCUCCCUUUCAAUCCAAGUUUUGAAGUAAUUGCUUUCAGCUCGUCGUGUGCCAGAUGUCACCACCGUUAGACAUUCAAUCUGUAACAAUGAGGGAGACAUUAAAAAAAAAAAAAACCACCAGUGACUAUUAAAUAUUUAUCAAGAUUAUCUUGCUGACCUUUAUUUUUAUAACUGUUUGCACACUCACGAGGUGCUGGCAAGAGAGAUAGAGAGAGAAGGAAAUAGCUUCAAAUGCACCCACGCCUGUUUUCUGCUCUCCAUGGUCCCUUUUCCCUUUCCUCUUUCUGAAUCCUCCUACUGUUGAGUAUGGAAAAAAUCCCACCAGGCUGACAACUUGGCAACAUCAGAACAGGCUGUACACUAAAUGGGAAAGAGCAUUAAUUACUACUAUUACUUUUAGUGAGAACAUAUUGCAGUAGCAGAGGGAGGAGGCAUCGUGUCAGAAUUCUCUGUAGGCCUUGAAGAGGCAACAUUGCGGUCAGCAAAGCAGGCAGAAGUUUCCUGCUUCUCCCAGAUGUUUGGUCCCCCCCCCCCUUGAUGUGCCCUUGAAAUAAAGUUCAUCCUCCCACCCCAUAGCAAAAUCCUGCUGUGUUUAAAUUGGGGCGCUCUGCCUCUCUUCUCUGUGCAUUAAGACUUAAAACUGAGAGAGAACUGGAGAGAUUUAAGUUGACCCCUCCCCCUGCUUCUUUCUGGUUUGACCGUCAUACCUAAUUGAAUUGCUUUCAGUCACUGCCAGACUUUGAUGACUGCCUUAAGAAUAAGGCUGGCAAAGUAACAGAGAAUGACAGCUGUUUUUUGCAGCUGGUUCUAAACUAUGGAACAGGUCAAUGGGCAAAAAUGAACUGGAGCUUGAAAACAAGGAAAGCAUAAAUUUAACUCUUGGCUGUGCACUGCCUGACAGGAAACUUGCACAGUCUCUCUCUCUCUCUCUCUCUCUCUCUCUCUCUUACAUACACACACACACACACACACACACACCCCAGUUGGUUAGGUCCCAGAGAGAUCUGUGGAUAAGAGCAGUCCUUUUCAGAUGUGUUGCCAAUACUCGCUUCCAGUAGCACUUCAUGAAGGAGAAAUUCAAUUCAAGGCAAAAAUUGUCUAAUUCACACUUUCCAAAGCACAACCAUUCCUUCAAAAUUUGCACUUCUUUAAUUUUUUCGAUGCAGUUCUCCAGCAAAGCAAUGUGCACAAGGGUAAAGUGUACACAAAAAUACAUAUAUACAUGAAAACAACAUAUGAAAAUGAAUUAUUUAUGGGGAAAUUGCUUUGCAAAAGAAAAGUGGACAUGCUGGGAGGAAUUUACAUGAAAAUGCUUUAAUAAAGAUAAUUCACAAACUGACAUGUAAAUGUGAAUUUAAGAUUAGAAAAAAUGAGUUACUGAGCCAGGGUGCGGGGCUGUGGGGAGCAGGGGGCGGUCAUGUUGGUGCUUCCCAUUCAUACAGUCCAUUUCAUGUUCCAUGUCUUGCAGGCUCUUUUCCUUCUUGCCUGGGAAGGUGGGUCCCUGACUGAUUCUAGCUACAAAAGCUGAUGCAAAAGUAGAGCAGACUAUUGGGCUGAGGUACUGUUUGGUGGGUGGGAGGGAAGCAUUCUUACAUUUAUUGAUAUUAACUUUUGUAUAUUUAUUUUAGAUAUUAAGAUUUAUGUGGAAAUUGUUCAGUUUGGUUGUGUACUUUUUGAUGUGUUUUAUUUAUUGUUUAUGACUACUUUUGUUAUGCUUGUAAUUAUGUAAUUUGUUCAUGUUACAAGCUGCCAUGAGCAUGGUUUUAACUAUGGAAAGGUGGCAUACAAAUAAAAUUGUGUGUGUGUAUGUAUUCAUAUAUGUAUGUAUUUAACCUCUCCUCAAAACAAAUUGGAAUGAAUACUCAUUAAAUAGCUAGUGUCAUCCAAUGUCUCAAAAUGGCACUGCAAAAACACACAACACAUAAAACUGGGUGGUAGUGUGGAAGACAGUGGAGAAUUGCAGUGAAAACUGGAAGAACAGUCAAAGUAGUGGCAAUGGGCCCUUCAAGCAUGCUGAGCUUUAGAUGUUGCCUGACGAUAAGGACUUAAGAACAUAAGAAAGGGUCUGCUCGAUCAGGCCAAUGCCAUCCUGUUCUCACAGUGGCAAGUCACAUGUCCUUGGAAAACCCCAAAGCAGAACCAGAGUGCAACAGCAAUCUCCCUGCUUGUCAGUCUCAGUAACUGCUAUUCCGAGGCAUACUGUUUCUGGUAGUGGAGCUAGAACAUUGCCAUAAUGGCUAAUAGUCACUGAUAAACUUAUCCUCCAUGGAUGGUACCAUCUUUCCCCGAAAGUAAGACAUCCCCCGAAAAUAAGACCUACUUCCAGUUUUGCCUCUCAAUGUAAUAUAAGCCCCCCCUGGAAUAUAAGGCCCCCGAAGCUACCGUAAGGCAACUGACUCCUUUAGACCGUAGCGGUGGGCGCCGCCACGCAGCUCACUGAUUGGCCGCAGCGCAGCCAGAGCUGUUCAGGCAGUGCGAGGUCUCUUUAAAUCAGAGAGCCCGCACCACCGCCAGGACAAGCUGCCACCUGCUGCUCGCUCUGCCCUGACGGAGUCUGGUUAACUCACAAUUAGACAAUAAAUGUGUACCGUAUUCUUCUUCAUGGAAAAAUAAUACAUCCCUAGGGCAUCUUUGGGAGCAAAAACUAAUAUAAGACACUGUCGUAUUUUCGGGGAAACAGGGUAGGAUGACAUCCUUUAAAGUCAGUUCAGGCCACUUGGGGACUUGAAGGGUGAGCUGUGGUCUUCCAAAAAUUCUACAGCAAAGCAAAUUAUUUUCCUCCAAGCAUUAUAGGCAUAGCACUGUGGCCAUCCAAAUACGUUUGCUAAAUCUGAAGGGAGGUGAAGAACACGCAGGAUCUUUUAGCAAUACCAGCUCCCUCCUACUUUGGAGAAGAGCUAUAGCUUAGUGGUAAAGCAUGUCUUGUGCAUGCAGUAGGUCCCAUGUUCUAUUCUUGAUAUAUCCAGGUAUAGCUGUGGAUGUAGAUGACCUGAAACCUUGGAAAGCCCCUGCCAGCCAGUGCAGGUAAUACUAAGUUAGAUGGACAGUACAAGGCAGCAUCCUAUGCUCUUCCUUCCUUCCUUCCUUCCUUCCUUUCCUUUCCUUUCUUUUUUCCAAUAAUGUUUAUUAAGUUUCUUGCAAAUAUAACACAUACUGAAAAACAAAUAAAAAAUAAAAUAAAAAGAGAAAUGAAACAAAUAAAGCAAAUAACAACAAAAGAUAUAACAACAAACACAUAAAUACAAUACAAAUUAAUAAUUGAUUAAACUUCCAACCUCAUAAACAUAUUACUUGACUUCCUCUAAUCCCUCCCAUCUGAAUUUCCUUGUAACGUAAUGUAGCAGUUUUCCAAUAUCAUUAUUCAAAAACAAUAUUCCAAUUAUAGUCAAGUUUCUUAACUUUUCUUAACCUUCUAAAUCUCAUUUAUUUAAUUAAAUCCUAAUUUAAUCCUAGGCCUAAUUGAUACUUUCAGGUAACUUCUAAUUUUUAAUGUUACAAUAUUUAUUCAAAUACUCUUUAAAUUUCUUCCAAUCUUCUUGAUAUUCCUCUUCUUUCUGGUCAGGAUUCUUCCAGUGCAGUCAGCUAGCUCCUUGAAGUCCACGAUCUUCAUCUGCCAUUCUUCCACAGUUGGUAAUUUUUGUGUUUUCCAUUUCUUGGCUAUUAAAAUUCGAGCAGCAGUUGUGGCAUACAAAAAUAAUUUAACAUCUUUCUUGGGCAAUUCCAAACCUAUUAUUCCAAGAAGAAAGGCCUCUGGUUUCUUAAUAAAUGUAUAUUUCAACAUUUUUUUCAGUUCAUUAUAAAUCUUCUCCCAGAAGUCUUUCACCUUGGGACAAGUCCACCACAUAUGGAAAAAAGGUACCUUCUUUUUCUUUACAUUUCCAACAAAGGUUAACACUGCUGCGAUAAAUCUUUGCUAGUUUUACGGGGGUUAAGUACCAUCUAUACAUCAUCUUCAUAAUAUUUUCCUUUAACAUCCAUCCUUCCUUUCCUGACUGGAUGAUUUUAAGGAGAGGACCCUCCUCUAAACCAAGCAUCCCCAAACUCGGCCCUCCAGAUGUUUUGGGACAACAACAUCAUCCCUAGCUAACAGGACCAGUGGUCAGGGAUGAUGGGAACUGUAGUCCCAAAACAUCUGAAGGGAUGAGUUUGCCUAUGCCUGCUCUAAACCUUCAAUCUCACUCAGAUUGUUGUAGCCAAGAAGCUCCAUUCCAGCUGUGUGAAUGCACUUCAAUUUUAAAAUUUAAUGUUGUAAAUUUGUUUUUAUGUUGUAAACGCUAUGGGCUACAUUGUAUGAUAUUAGAGGAAAUUUUCUUUUUAUUCUGUGUUGUCCAUUGUAAAGGCCUUUGGCUAUAUAUAAUAAUACUGACCAGAUCACUCGGGUUGUGCUCACUAUGUUAAACUUUCUAGCGGUGGGCCUUAAAUGAUUGAAUACUUCUCCACAACCACACAUAAAAAUACAAUGAAAACUAUACACUCUUCCAGCAUGACAUGGAGAAAGCUAAAUGGAUCCCUUCUCCCUAACAUGCUAGUGUCUACACGGAGGGAUUUUUGUUGUUGUUUUAGUGUUCACUUUUGACAAUGUUCACUUUUGACAAUACGAAGAAAUGCGUUUGGUUGUAUGCAUGGAAGGUCACUUGACUUGAGGGCUCCAUCCAAGAUCAAGGUCAAGCUUGAGACUCACAGGGAAAAUCCAGCAGUGUUGGUUCAAGAGUUUAAAGACCCAGCGUGCUUGUAGGACCUUGGAAGUCUCCCAGGAUUCUUCUAUGAUAAUGUAAGCAGGUACCUAGCUCCAAAUGAGGUCUUAUAUAUUUUGGCAGAACUAUAGUGCAGUAAGCCCCACCUUCCCAGAGGAGCUUGUCGGCUAUUAAAGGCACCUUUGCCUUAUUCUGCUGUCUUGGAAUUUGCAGGACUGAAGAGAAAAAGACACUGCAAAAGGCUCCUCUGAAUCAGAGGAGAGAGGCAACACUAUUCUGGCUCUGAGGGUUCUGAAAAUGGUCCUGACAGAUCCUCCCCCAAGGAUAGAACUGUAGAUUCAUCCUCCUCUGAGUCAGUUACACAGUUCAUGUUCUCUGGGUUGUAUGCCAUGACACUGGGACAGAAAUCCCAUGAUAAAUUUCUAUCCUAAAGCCCAUGUUGAAUGGGCACUCCAGUGCACAGAUCCUAAAACACAAGGAAAAAUGGGAUGCAUACACACACUGUGUACAAGAAUGUUGUAUGCUGCAGAAGUGGUUAGUGGUGGGUUAGAGGGCUUGGGAUAUAGAGAAAAUUUAGUAGUAGGGGAUCAGUUCAAAAAAGUUUGAGAAAUGAUGAGUUAGGUGUUUGGUGCAAAUGUUAAACAUAGUGGGCCUGAGUCUUAUUAUUUGAUGCAGCCAUUUUUUCCUGUGCAGUGGCAGACCAGGAAUCAGUAAUCGAAAAAGGGCUGCUGCUGAAAUCAAUUGCAAAAGCCAUUAAGCAUAUAUAUAUAUAUAUACACACACAGCAAACUCCAGCUGACGCCAUUCAUUCCUUCUCCUCAACAGCUUGUUGUUCUAUUGGCUCUGAUUGUCUGGUUGGGACUCUAUAUCCGGAAGAUCCAUUGGCUGCACUCAGGCAUGACAAAACCAGUCACCUGUUAAAUUUAGAUUUCUUGAAUCUGCCAACAGCCUGACACAUUGAUAAACAGCCGCGGUUUUUAGAAAAGGUUGGGAAAGCUCGCUCACUCUCCGUUAAUUGCUUUGUGGUACUGAACCAUAAAAACAGCAUUGACUCAGUUCUGAGCAAUCUCCCCAUAACACAGGGGAAUGGUGGCUCCUCAUAACAAGACGAAGGGCUCUCCAUCACUCUCCAGACGGUGGGGUCACCUGACCCUUUGAAAAACAAAGGCAGUUCAAAUUUACUGCCAGCACAGCUGCUGUGUCAAGAGAAAGGAGGAGCAAUGGCCACCAGGCCACUGUUAACAAAGAAAUAGACUUUCCAGAUGGUGACUACCAGUCCAUCCCAUGAUCCAUGAGAAAGAAGAGGUGACUACAGGAAGUAUUCACUACAUUUAUGAGAUAGUUAGAAGGCAGAUUAGGCUUUUGAGAGGCCUUAUGGAGUGAUGGGGUGAUGUAACUUAACAGGUAGAAACAUAGAAUCGUAGAGUUGGAAGAAGAGGAGUUUGGAUUUGAUAUCCCGCUUUAUCACUACCCUAAGGAGUCUCAAAGCGGCUAACAUCCUCCUUUCCCUUCCUCCCCCACAACAAACACUCUGUAAGGUGAGUGGGGCUGAGAGACUUCAAAGAAGUGUGACUGGCCCAAGGUCACCCAGCAGCUGCAUGUGGAGGAGUGGAGACACGAACCCGGUUCCCCAGAUUACGAGUCCACCACUCUUAACCACUACACCACACUGGCUCUACUUUGGGAAGGGACCCAAAAGGUCAUCUAUUCAAACCUCCUGCAGGGAAUCUCAGCUAACGCAUCCAUGGCAGAUAGCCAUCCAAGCUUUGUUUAAAAUCCUUCAAGGAAGGAGAGUCCACAACUUCCCGAGGGAGACCAUUCGCUGUCGAACAGCUCUUACUGUCAGAAAGUUUUUCCUGGUAUGUUUAGUCUACUUCCUUGUAACCUGAAGCCAUUGUUUUGAGUCCCACCCCCCAGAGCAGGAGAAAAUAAGCUUGUUCCUUCUUUCAUGUGACCACCCUUCAGAUAUUUGAAGAUGGCUAUCAUAUCUCCUCUCAGUCUCCUCUUUGUCAGACUAAACAUACCCAGCUUCUUCAACAACUCCUCUUAAGGCUUGGUUUCCAGACCCAUGAUUACCUUGGUUGUCCUCCUUUGCACAUGUUCCAAAUUGUCAACAUCCUUCUUAAACUGUAGUGCCCAGAAUUGGACACAAUAUUCCAGGUGUGGUCUAACCAAGGCAUAAUAGAGUGGUACUAUUACUUCCUUGAAGGGACGCGGAUGGUGCUGUGGCCAAACCACUGAGCCUCUUGGGCUUGCAAUCGAAAAGUUGGUAGUUCGAAUCCACGUGACAGGGUGAGCUCCCAUUGCUAUGUCCCAGCUUCUGCCAACCUAGCAGUUUGAAAGCACACCAGUGCAAGUAGAUAAAUAGGUACUGCUGCGGCAGGAAGGUAAAUGGUGUUUCCGUGUGCUCUGGCUUCUGUCACAGUGUUUCGUUGUGCCGGAAGUGAUUUAGUCAUGCUGACCACAUGACCCAGAAAGCUGUCUGUGGACAAACACAGGCUCCCUCGGCCUGAAACGAGAUGAGUGUCACACCGCAAAACCACCUUUGACUGGACUUAACUGUCUAGGGGUCAUUUACCUUUUAAAAAAUUUAUUACAUCCCUUGAUCUAGAUGCUAUACUUCAGUUGAAGCACCCUAGAAUACUCAUAUUAAGCUUGUGGUCUACUAUGACCCCUAGAUCCUUUUCACAUGUACUGCUAGUAAGCAAGGUGUCCCUCAUCUUAUAUUUGUGCAUCUGAUUCUUCCUGCCUAAGUGCAGAACCUUACAUUUGUCCCUAUUGAGAUUCAUUUUAUUAGCUUGUGCCCAAUUCUCCAAUCUGUUAAGGUCGUUUUGAAUUCUGAUUCUGUUUGGAUAGGGAAUGAGGGGGAAGUAGCUGGUGGCUCUAACCACACCUUUCUUGUCUGUUUGUCAGUGAGGACAAGAUUGAACUAUACAUGCAGCAGAAUGAGAUGGUCUAAUCCUGAGCAGGAAGGGUAGGCCAUAUCACUUCAUAUUGUUGGCCCGGAAGGCCUGGGAACAUGGAACACCAUUCCCCUACCCACUGUAUUACAAUACCCUUCUGCAAUUAAAAGUCAAACACACCAGAAAGUAAUGCUAUAGCCUAGAACCAGAAGUCUGUCUGACCACCUCAUUUUGUUGCAUACUCUCCCAGUGUCCCUAUUUUCCAGAGUCAGUCACAGAAUUAUGGAAGCCAUCCCAGCUUCUGAUUUGAUAGUGGAAUGUCCCUAUUUCCAACACCAGUGAGCUCAGGGAGGGGGAUGAGCUAGCGCUUGUCCUGAGCAGCAACAUUUGUGGCAGUGGCAACUCUGAAGGAGCAUCGCAUUGCCUCUACAUGGCUGCUGCUGUUGGCCUCCUCCCAUGGUCAGCUUGUAGCAGCUGCUAGAGAGCAGGUGAGGAGGAGGAGAGGCUGCCACCACCUGGGGGGGGGGGGAGACCAAAAAUGGGGGGGGGGGGUUGAAGAUUCUCAGUUGCGGAAUGAAAAAUGUCAAUAUUUUCAUCUGACCAAAACUGCUGGGCAUGUUGUUGCAUGUGUAGAUUAAGUCUCAGAGCCUGGCUCGCUGAUUUCUUCUGGAGAUGGACCAUGAGACUUGUUGCUUGUGAAGUCACAGAAUAUGAGUGUGGAAACAAUACAGUUUAAUAUUCUAAUCCAGCUUGCUUGCAUAGACAGUUGAAAAGUCUUGGGUUGAUUAAGUUGGUCAGUCAUGAAAAUGUGCUGAUGAUAAAGCACAGCCUGAACCCAAAUGGACCAUUUAUCAAUGUGAUACAGACUUUUUGCAAAAAGUGAACAAGUGACAAGGAGAGUGUACUUAGUGGCAAUGCACUGAUUCAUUACCCCUUAGGGAGUUUGCCAAAGUUACCUGCUAUUCAACAAAGAGAUUCAAACGUUUUGAAGGCAGUUCGAGGGAGGUCUGUUGCUCAGUUGUAAAACAUCUGCUUUGCAUGCAGAACACCCCAGGCUAAAUCCCUGGCAUCUAUAACUAGGGUUGGGAUAGACCCCUGCCUGGAAUCCUGGAGAGCCACCGCCAGCAUACACUAGGAAUGGGAACUUCCGGCCCUUUAAAUGUCACAGCACAACAAUCCCCACCAGCCUCAUCCAACACGCCCAAUGGAAGUUGAAGUCCAUCAUCAUCUAGUGGUCCACAGGAUUCCCACCCAUGUUGUAGACACCAGUGAGCAAGAGGGACCAAUAAUAUGCUUCACUAUAAAGCAGAAUCCUAUGCACCUAGUGGUAGAUAAACAAUCAGACCAAGGUGAGAGAUAGUAAUAACAAUUGGUUAUUGUUAGGGUUGAUGCAUACCUAAAAGCACAUCACUCAGCAUCUGAUCACACCAAAACUUCCCACACAUUGAUUCCCUAAGAGGAGGGGUGCCAAUUUAAAUAAAAUAUGGGGGGGGGCAAGUAAGCCCCAUCCUGCAUAAUCAAUCACAGAAUGUGAUGCACAUAUGCUGUUUGAAUGGCAAUGCCCAUGAGCUAUUCAGCUGCAAUUUUAAGGGAUGAUGGUGUUGUCUCACAUGUGCACUCCCAGUUGUUGAUGAUAUUGUGGUACUGUAGUAUCAGCCUGUGUUGUUCUGCCCAAUAUUUGUGAGUUAAAGGGUUACUCACUGGGUGCCGUUGACUGUAUAGUAACUGAAAUUAUUCCUUCCUCACAUGCAGAGGAGUAUUGACCAUGUUGAAACAGGACUGCAACAGGGUUCUGCAACAUAUUACUGGUAGUUCUGUCUUCAUACGAUUUUCAGCAGAUGAUGCUCAGAAGGCACAAAAUGCAAGGACCUUGCAGAAACUUCAGAGAAUGGUAGGACUGAGCAUUUGCUGGGUCCCCUAAGUAGCCAAACAAUGCACUGCAUAGGGCACUUUAGGAAGAGACUUUAGAAGACAAUUCCCAUUCUCCACGCCUCCUUCUUUUGUAGGUUAAGGAGGCCCAAUGAGGAUACCUCAGCAGGCCCCACCCCACGCCAGCACAAUAUACAGCCCUUAAUAAUGCACUGGACUUACUACCCCAGUUAAGAGCAAAAACAUUUCAGCUUACCAAUGCCUUAUUUCUGCUCUUGCAAAAAGGAUUGGUAACAGAAGCGGAAGUUUACUUACUUAAUGCCUGAAAUCUUAGUCUUCAGGCAGGAUUUAAAAGUUGGUGAAUUAUUUUUAUUGGUGUUUUUUUUUAAUUCUUGAAAUAGAAUGGAUGUUUGGUUGUUCAUAUAUGAUGCUAGUACUGAAAAUAAAUUGAACUUUAAAGUGGUAAAAAAAUAACUUUGGGAUAACUCAGAUAUUAUAUUGGUGGGGGCAAAGGGACCUCGGUCCCCCAGAGCUGGCUCCUAUGAUGGAGAGAUUUCAUGGUUCAGUGGCAGAGCACAUGCUUUGCAUACAGAAAGUGUGGUAUAAUUAACCUCAUAUAACCUACAUUAUAAAGUCAGAUGGAUGCAUCAAGGGGUUAAUGCCAUAGAGUAAGCUCUCCUGCAAGGCUUAGCUGGAUCCCUCCCCCUCACCUAGCAAAAAAAGUAAUCAAACAUUUUGUUCUCCUCUCUGUCUACCCGAGAAGCUCAGUGUGUAAAGAGGUCUGAGCUGGUUACUUCAAGCUUAGACUGCAUGGCUCUUACAAGCACUUAUUGUGUUCUUAUACCAAUAAUUUAGGAACUUUCAUGACUAUAAGCCAAGUUUUACUGCCUGUGUUUUCUGACUGAAAAGCACAUGAACCUGACCUUUGGAGAGUUUGUAAGCUACGGUAACCAUUUUUUAACUUAAUAGAUGUGGGGUCUUUUUCUAUGUUGAGGGAAGAGGGAAGUUUUGGAACUGACAAUGACAUAUUUUAAAGGCCCAACAGCCUAUAUUUCCAUGUUUUACCUUGCUGCAUAUUUUGUGAUUUUUAAAUCUCUGCUGGGGUUCUCUCACUAAAGAGUAUUUGUCCCAAACUUGGAUCUUGGCAUUCAGGGAAUUCUGUUUUUAUAUCUUCUUCUCUCCCCCCCCCCCCUUGCCAUCAACAGCAAUUCAGUGGGGGUCACCACACAGUGGUAAUCUCAUCUGCUUGCAGAAGGUUCCAGAUUCAACUCCCAGUAUUACCAGGAUGAGCUGGGAAUGUCCCUGGUCUAUGCCCUUCAAUGUCCUUGAGCAUAAAAAGUUGGGUGGCCCCUGCCCUAGCUAGUGUGCUAAUUUACUGCUUUAAAGGAGGAGUUAUUGAUUUGGUAAAAUAUAUCACCACUCACUUGCAGUCUGAAACGGUACAGUCCAUUUUAUCUCCCUAGUAUUCUGCCACUGCAAUCCCAACUCAUUCUAGUCCAUGUGUAGUAGGGCAGGUUCUAUUUAGGCAAAUAUGCCUUUCCUUUAUCAAUUCCAUCUCUUGGGAAAAUCUUCCCUUUCCGUUCACCUCCUUGAUUUCUGUCACCUCUUGGCACCAGAGUCUAUAAUUCUCCAUCUCUCUCCACAUUGAUGGAUAGGAUUUUAAUCUCCCCUCUGUCCUCUCUGCCACUAUGCCAGGUCAAAGACUGUUUAAAGGCCCUGGCAAUUAAACCAGAUAAAUAAAAUCACAUUGCUUAUAAUUACUGGGGACAAUUUGGUUUAAUUAGAUGUUAAGCUAGCUCGCCUCUCUUCUUUACAGGCCCAGAUAAAUACCUGAACCUUACAUUGGAAGGCGG